rnacentral:lncRNA from 1 species
AGUAUCAGAGGCGUACGAGCCAUUGCUUCACGUGAAUUUAAUUCUUUGGUCCUCCUCUUUCUGGAAGGGGUCGCUCUAAGAUGCGCUGCAAAGGUGGGGUGAAGCCUUUGUGGGAGGUAUGUAGCCUUUAGCUGGCAGGCAAGGGGCACAUCGGAUGCAGGGGUGGUGAGAGAUGGUUUGCGCCGGAGAUACGGAGGCUCGUCAGAUUGCAAGUGACAAGGCUCCAGGGGGUUGUCUGCCUUCUGGGGUUGUAGGCACAGCUCUGCCUGCAAGCCCAACCCCAUGUUUUCAUGUUGAGAAAGGCUACCUCAGCAUUAUGAGUUGUUUAUGUAUCAACACCAGUUAAUCAACACCAGUUCUGAGGAUGCAGAAAUAUGGAAAGAUCCAAAGGUGAAAUACAAAGAGAAGACUGAGUUCUUAAUGGAAGGACGAGAGGUGAAGGACUAUCCCACCUGGAGCCGCCCGCCCCUGUGCAGAACCGCCUGAGCUGCCCGGCUCGCUGGACUCAGUAGACACAUGAAGACAAACAGGAAAUUGGGGUGACGCUGGGCACCACUGAGUGCAUGUGCGUGUAACCAGACACGGCGUCAGGGGUACGUACACGUGACUCGGGUAGCACACCUGGGCACUCUGACUUAGCGUAUAAAUCCAACAUUUCAUCAAACGCGUUAAACCGAAUUAACUGUUAUGGGCUUAAUUGUGUCCAUCCCUCAAAUUCACACAGUGAGGUUCUAACUCUUAGGUCCUCAGAAUGUGAGUAUAUUUGGAGACCAAGUCUUUAAACAGGUGACUGAGUUAAAAUGAGGCCCCUAGGGUGGGCUUGAGCCCCCUGGCCCGGUGUCCAGGGACGCUGGCGCACCGAGGGACAUGUGCGUGAAGAGUCAACGAGAAGACGGCCGUCCGCACGCGGAGGAGAGAGGCCCCAGAAGAAACCCACCCGCUGACGUCUCAGUCUUGGACUCACAGCUCCUGGAACCGGAGAAAAUACAAUCUGUUGAUUUCUCCACCCAGUCGAAGGCACUCUGCUACGGCAGCCCAAGGAGAGUAGAAUUCAGCAUAUUAACGGAAAGGCGCCUCCUCCGCCGCUUCCUCACCAGGCAUCCGAACCGAAACACCAUCAAGAAACGGAAACGGACGCACCGCCACCCUCUCUGGACUCGCCUGCAAGACUGAGGUCUUCACUCUGGGAUGCGAGGCUUCGCUGAGGAGCUGCUGGCUCUGUGAAAAGACAGCGCGGGGGGCAGGAGGCGCCUCUGGGUCUGCAGCCGUGAUGCUCAGAGGCCCUGCCGCUCACCCCUCCAAACUCGAGGUCAUCCCUGCAGACACAGAGGCAGGGCAGCUUCCCCACCACAUCGAGGGGCGCUCCAGGGGUGCCUCGGAGAACGGGAGGCAUGAAAGGGGCACACCCCUCACCACGGCUGCUCCAAAACGGGAACCUCCUCUCUAGGCGGUUAGAAUAAUGAUUCCCAUGGUCCCUCGAGGAACCUGGGUCACCCAGAGUAGCACCUGGUGGAGAAGCCAGUGCUGGGGGUCCUCCCCUCCUCCUGGAAGGACUUUGAAAGGCAGGCCCAGGGUGGAGGGUCCCCGUAGACAGUGCGGGGACACGGCCAGGCGACAGGCUUGAGGGCCCAGGAAACCAGCGGAUGGGCGCAGUUGCUGCUGGAGGGAGAACCUGGCGCCAGAAGCGUGGCCGGAGAGUCUGUGUCCAGGCCUGCGCUUAAGCUCUGAGCUGGUGCUCCGUGAGCAGUGGGCCUUUCAACGCACCGCCUGGACGCGUGAUGAGGCCGUUUUAUUGCCUGUAAAGCAGAACAAGCUCCAUCCAACUCGUAGGUUUUCUGGAAAGCUCGGUAAUGGUUGAAAAUGCUUUGUAAACUUUGUAGACGAGACUUGUUAGAACUCUUGGCAUCUCACUUGUCCAUCUGCACGUAGCAAAUGGCCCAGGCCACUCUCUUUAGCAUCACGCUUGAAUUGGAUUCAAGUUCCCUUGUUCGCCCAGCUUCCGAGGCCACAGCGAACAGCAUCACGAUGCUUCUGUUUCCCUCUCUACUGGCUGUUGCUCUGAGUAAGCUCUGGCAACAAUCCAUCGUGCCUCUUCCUACCAAGCCCAGUGCCCCCAGAAAAUGGAAAAUAAACACAAUUUAGAAGCAGCUGGUCGUG